GGCAUGUGUAAUGUAACAACCCAACUAGAGGCCGUUACCAACACUAUAAAACGAGUUAGCUUAAGGCUGCUGGAACCCGUAGCAAGCCUAAAACGUGAUAAACAUAACCCGUUCCACAUAAACCAAAACCUAAGCAACUAAUAAACAAUCACACUUUAGCAUUUACAUUGGAACAUAAAUCAUUUUCCUUUAAAACAGUUCAGAAUUUGAACCUUUUUAUUUCAUUCAUAAACGCUAAAGUGAAAUUUUU
rnacentral:misc_RNA from 1 species